UACGAAGGGGGGCUAGCGUUGCUCGGAAUCACUGGGCGUAAAGGGUGCGUAGGCGGGUUCUUAAGUCAGAGGUGAAAUCCUGGAGCUCAACUCCAGAACUGCCUUUGAUACUGAGAGUCUUGAGUUCGGGAGAGGUGAGUGGAACUGCGAGUGUAGAGGUGAAAUUCGUAGAUAUUCGCAAGAACACCAGUGGCGAAGGCGGCUCACUGGCCCGAUACUGACGCUGAGGCACGAAAGCGUGGGGAGCAAACAGGG
rnacentral:rRNA from 1 species